rnacentral:rRNA from 1 species
GACGAACGCUGGCGGCGUGCUUAACACAUGCAAGUCGAACGAUGAAGAAGAGAAACGCGAACUUCGGUUCAAAUUUCACUUCGGAUUAGUGGCAGACGGGUGAGUAACGCGUGAGCAACCUACCUCUUACAAAGGGAUAGCCUCGGGAAACCGUGAUUAAUACCAUAUGACACAUUCAUAAGGCAUCUUAAGAAUGUUAAAGCUACGGCGGUAAGAGAUGGGCUCGCGUCCCAUUAGCUAGUUGGUGGGGUAACGGCCUACCAAGGCGACGACGGGUAACCGGCAGGAGAGGGUGACCGGACACAGUGGGACUGAGAGACGGCCCAGACUCCUACGGGAGGCAGCAGGGGGGAAUAUUGCACAAUGGGCGGAAGACUGAUGCAGCAACGCAGCGUGCGGGAUGACGGCCUUCGGGUUGUAAACCGCUUUCGCCUGUGACGAAGCGUGAGUGACGGUAAUGGGUAAAGAAGCACCGGCUAACUACGUG